UUGAGGCGCUAUCGCUUACUUCCGGUAUACUUCCGGAAAAUUUGCAUAAAACUAGCAAGUGAGCUUUGUUCUCUGCACAAUUCUAAAGACUCCUUGUCAGUUUCAGCAAACAGAAAUGGUCUUUUUGAUUACUUUUUUUUACUUUUGUGACUAUCUAAAGCCGGUCAGUUUUGGACGUGUCUAAUAGAUGGCGUGAAGGAAUAUUGUGUUGUCAAUUGUGGGCUCAUGGCGGCUCGUUGUCUAAAUCUAUCUUCAGCUACAGCUAUUUUCUUCGAAAGUUACAAAUGAACACAUAGGUUCAUUCGAGUGAUUUCGUUUUUAUCUUGGCGUGUUCAUGUGGAUAACCUUAGUGUUUUUCAUGAACUUACAGAAGGAAACGUAGCCUACCGUUGACUAUUUUGUUCAAAAUGUGCCAUCGAAAUGACACAGGAUUCAUUAGAAUUAUCUGCUGUAAGAACUGGACUUGCUAGAUCACCAAACCCAUCACGGACCAAUCUCUCAUUCCAUCUUCUAGAGAACCUUGGCUAACUGUUUGGCGGUUUCAAGUGUUUGAAACUAUAGGUUUCUAAAUUUGCAUGACAGACCUUAAGAAAAGUCAUGUUGAAGAAAAAAGGACUGACUGACAGUCAACAAGGUAUGCUACCUUGUUUGGUAACCUGUUGGCUGCUUCCAUUGAUUCUCCUGUUUUACUUCCUUAAGCUUGAUUUGAGGGUAACUCCGCUACUUAUCAUGGACUUCAUCCAUUGGUGAUGCUGUAAUUCAAGAGAAUGCUGUCAUUCAAGACUAUUAAAUUGUGUAGUUGUUAGAUAAAACAGCUAACCAUUGGCCAUGUAAUCACCCUGGCUGCAGUUAAUUAAGGCAGUCUCCCCUGUCUUGAUUGACUGUAUGUGCGAGUUUCAAAAGCAGUUUAUCACCCAAAUGAGACAAAAGGAGUUGGUUAGGUUUGUUUUAUUUGGGUAUAAACUGCUUUAAAAU